GACAGAGGGUGCAAACGUUGUUCGGAAUUACUGGGCGUAAAGCGUGUGUAGGCGGUCUCUUAAGUCGGAUGUGAAAGCCCCGGGCUCAACCCGGGAAGUGCACUCGAAACUGGGAGGCUAGAGUACUGGAGAGGUUGGUGGAAUUCUCGGUGUAGAGGUGAAAUUCGUAGAUAUCAGGAAGAACACCCGUGGCGAAGGCGGCUCUCUGGGACGGUACUGACGCUGAGACGCGAAAGCGUGGGGAGCAAACAGG
rnacentral:rRNA from 1 species